AUUGAACGCUGGCGGCAGGCCUAACACAUGCAAGUCGAGCGGAUGAAGGGAGCUUGCUCCUGGAUUCAGCGGCGGACGGGUGAGUAAUGCCUAGGAAUCUGCCUGGUAGUGGGGGAUAACGUCCGGAAACGGGCGCUAAUACCGCAUACGUCCUGAGGGAGAAAGUGGGGGAUCUUCGGACCUCACGCUAUCAGAUGAGCCUAGGUCGGAUUAGCUAGUUGGUGGGUAAAGGCCUACCAAGGCGACGAUCCGUAACUGGUCUGAGAGGAUGAUCAGUCACACUGGAACUGAGACACAGUCCAGACUCCUACGGGAGGCAGCAGUGGGGAAUAUUGGACAAUGGGCGAAAGCCUGAUCCAGCCAUGCCGCGUGUGUGAAGAAGGUCUUCGGAUUGUAAAGCACUUUAAGUUGGGAGGAAGGGCAGUAAGUUAAUACCUUGCUGUUUUGACGUUACCAACAGAAUAAGCACCGGCUAACUUCGUG
rnacentral:rRNA from 1 species